GCACCUAUAACCAAGCGACGAACUUUAACCUUGCACCUGUAACCAAACAGUUCCUCUCUCCUCCGUCCCAUGCCGCAGAUCUCAUCCCCGUCCCUUUCGUUACGCCAAAUUCAACCCGAAUUUCUCCAUCAAACUCUCUCCUCCGACGAACCCAACCCUGCCCACCCAUACCCAACUCUCCUCUGCCAUGGCACCGCUUUCUCUCCUUCCUGUCAUGGUUGUAUCGGGAAAAAGAUAGUGGAUUGGGGGCGGGUUCGACGAAGGAGAGAGGAAGGAGGAGGAGACGUGGAUGUGGUCGACGGAACGGGGCUAUCACACAAAUUGCUUACUCUGUCGCACAGUAGGUGUUUGGUUAAAUGUAUUGGAAAUUAUAUUUUGGAUGCAAAAUUUGAUGUUUUUGUGAUAUUACUACC